rnacentral:tRNA from 1 species
UGUAGCUCAGUUGGUAGAGCAUGGUGCUUGAAAUGCCAAGAUAGUGGGUUUGAUUCCACCCA